UACGUAGGGUGCAAGCGUUUGUCCGGAAUUAUUGGGCGUAAAGAGCUCGUAGGCGGUUUGUUGCGUCGGCUGUGAAAUCCCGAGGCUCAACCUCGGGUCUGCAGUCGAUACGAGCAAACUGAGAGUGCUGCAGGGGAGACUGGAAUUCCUGGUGUAGCGGUGAAAUGCGCAGAUAUCAGGAGGAACACCGGUGGCGAAGGCGGGUCUCUGGGCAACAACUGACGCUGGAGGAAGCGAAAGCGUGGGGAGCGAACAGG
rnacentral:rRNA from 1 species